rnacentral:rRNA from 1 species
UACGAAGGGGGCAAGCGUUAAUCGGAAUUACUGGGCGUAAAGGGUGCGUAGGCGGUUGUUUAAGUCUGUCGUGAAAUCCCCGGGCUCAACCUGGGAAUGGCGAUGGAUACUGGGCAGCUAGAGUGUGUCAGAGGAUGGUGGAAUUCCCGGUGUAGCGGUGAAAUGCGUAGAGAUCGGGAGGAACAUCAGUGGCGAAGGCGGCCAUCUGGGACAACACUGACGCUGAAGCACGAAAGCGUGGGGAGCAAACAGG